rnacentral:rRNA from 1 species
UCUUCCCUCUGGCGGCGUGCCUAAUACAUGCAAGUCGAGCGAACAGACGAGGAGCUUGCUCCUCUGACGUUAGCGGCGGACGGGUGAGUAACACGUGGAUAACCUACCCAUAAGACUGGGAUAACUUCGGGAAACCGGAGCUAAUACCGGAUAAUAUAUUGAACCGCAUGGUUCAAUAGUGAAAGACGGUUUUGCUGUCACUUAUAGAUGGAUCCGCGCCGCAUUAGCUAGUUGGUAAGGUAACGGCUUACCAAGGCAACGAUGCGUAGCCGACCUGAGAGGGUGAUCGGCCACACUGGAACUGAGACACGGUCCAGACUCCUACGGGAGGCAGCAGUAGGGAAUCUUCCGCAAUGGGCGAAAGCCUGACGGAGCAACGCCGCGUGAGUGAUGAAGGUCUUCGGAUCGUAAAACUCUGUUAUCAGGGAAGAACAAAUGUGUAAGUAACUAUGCACGUCUUGACGGUACCUAAUCAGAAAGCCACGGCUAACUACGUG